UGGGGAAUAUUGCACAAUGGGCGCAAGCCUGAUGCAGCGACGCCGCGUGAGGGAUGGAGGCCUUCGGGUUGUAAACCUCUUUCGCCAGUGAAGCAGGCCAUCUUCUUUGUGGGGUGGUUGACGGUAGCUGGAUAAGAAGCGCCGGCUAACUACGUGCCAGCAGCCGCGGUAUUACGUAGGGCGCGAGCGUUGUCCGGAAUUAUUGGGCGUAAAGAGCUCGUAGGCGGCUGGUCGCGUCUGUCGUGAAAUCCCCUGGCUUAACUGGGGGCUUGCGGUGGGUACGGGCCGGCUUGAGUGCGGUAGGGGAGACUGGAAUUCCUGGUGUAGCGGUGGAAUGCGCAGAUAUCAGGAGGAACACCGGUGGCGAAGGCGGGUCUCUGGGCCGUUACUGACGCUGAGGAGCGAAAGCGUGGGGAGCGAACAGG
rnacentral:rRNA from 1 species